ACCUACAACAAGUUUGACAGCUCAGCCUUUUAGUACCGAGCAGCAGUGGUAACGACAGAAAAAUUGCACUUUCUUCCACUGAAGACGGGUUUUGUCUUAUUUUUUGUCGCUAUGUGUGCGUCCGGCGUUUCCUGUGGGCUAUGAGGGGUUUUAUACAUCCGUAGGCUUUGGUCACUUCUCCCCCCUGGGAUUCCUUCUUUCCUUUUUUUGGCUCGCGUUGGUGUAGCGUCUGAGAAAUAAAUUCGAGGAAAACCUCUGCUUUUUACAUUUAUCCGGGCGUCGAGAGGAGGAUAAAGAUGUCGAACAAGGUGGAUGAGGCGAACAAGCUCGCCGAAAGUACAUACAAGAAUGUGAUGGAGCAGUUCAACCCAGGCCUUAGGAACCUGGUGAACCUAGGAAAGAGCUAUGAGAAGUCUGUUCAUGCUAUGUCCAUGGCAGGAAAGAUGUAUUUUGAUGCACUGUCUAAGAUUGGAGAGAAUGCUGCUGGAUCUCCUGUCUCCAAAGAGUUGGGUGCAGUGCUGGUAGAAAUCUCCGAGGUGCACAGGAAGGCUCAGCUUGAGAUGGAGGAAAAUUUUAAGAGGUUCCACAGGGAGAUAAUAACAGAGCUGGAGAGAAAGACUGACAUGGAUGUCAAAUACAUGACAGCCACUUUCAAAAGGUACCAGAUGGAGCACAAGAUGAAGCAGGAUUCUCUGGAGAAGUCCCAGGCGGACCUGAAAAAGCUGAGGAGGAAGAGCCAAGGCAAGAACGCCAACAAAUACGAAAGCAAGGAAAGCGAGAUCCUGGAAGCCCUGACAGUUCGACAGACGGAGAUGCAGUUGUUCCUCGCAGAUGGCUGCAAGGAGGCUCUGCUGGAGGAGAAGAGACGCUUCUGUUUUCUUGUUGACAAACACUGCUUGCUAACCUAUCAGUUUGCUUCCUAUCAUGACAAGACCAGAGACUUGCUGUCAACAAAGCUGAGCAGCUGGCAGGACCAGUGCAACGAUGCCACCAACAUGCCAGACAGCGUCUUAUCCAUGAUUGAUGAACUGCGCAAGCCAGUCGCCAUUGCACCGAUGCCUUCUCCCACCCCAUCAAGACACAGCGUGCAGAGUGCGCCCGUUCCCCCGGCUCCUCCUCUGAAAGCUCAGACCAGCCCUCUGGCUAAUAUGUUCAACCACCAAGACAGCAACACAAGACAGCCUGCUCAUACGCCGACCAAAAACAGCAUAGACCAUGAAAACGGCGACGAGAACAAUCUUGCCAGGUCUGUGUCCGUCGCCACAGGCCUCAACAGCAUGGCGAGGAGGCCACGGGUGCGCACCAUCUUCCCCCACACUGCUGGCAACAACAGCACGCUGCUCAGCUUUGAUGAGGGAGACAUCAUUAUCCUGCUCAUCCCUGACGAGAGGGACGGUUGGAUGUACGGCGAAAUGGAAAAGAAUGGAAAGAGGGGCUGGUUCCCUUCAUCUUACUGCCGCGCUGUCAAUGAGCAGCUCGUGAAUAACAACAGUGAGGCUACGGCCCCUCUCCGCAGCAGGAGCGUGGUCAACCUCCACCAUCAAGAUACAGAGACAGACGAGGCCACCAUGGUGCUUCCCCCGACGGACUACUACAACAUCAGGAGCAAACCCUUGUCCACCGUAAGCGUCGCUACAAAUAACCACCAGCACUCCCCCACGCCCUCGGCAGCAUCCUCCACCUCCUCUGAUCAGAACUCGCAUCGUGGCUACAGUACCCUCAGCUGCACAGCCUUAUCUUGACUGGUGAUGAAGGCCGAACAGUCUAACGGCACCUCGAGACCUCCGCCUGCUUUCCUCGCCGGAGGAAAUCCAUUUGCAACAGUCAGGCUACGACCAACUGUGACUAACGAUCGCUCUGCGCCCGUCAUCUGAUCUCCAACAUUUCCAUCCAUCUCCGAGCUCAUCGUUUGACCCUCUGCCUUUCUGGUCCAGCAGUUUCUCCUGGGUCAGGGCGGAGGGGCAAAAAGGCCAUUUGAAUCUGCUACGAACUGAUACGGUAAACUAAGUAUUUUAGUACCUGAACCGAUGCCUAUUUAUGAUAUAUAAAUUUUCUAUGGCUAUAUUUUAGUCGGUCUGUGUGUGUCGGUGAGAUUUAAAUGGACACAUCUUAACUUGCACUUGAGACAUGGAUGAAUUAAAAACUGCUCAAAGAGAAUCUUGUGAUGUAUUUAUGCCGUUGAUGUUGCUUGUCUGACUGUUAGAAACCAUUCUAUGGUUAGAAAACAAUACUGUGGAGGACUACUACAUUUCAGGCUUUAAUCUGUAAACUGUUGAAAAUCACUAGACAUGUUUUGAGGAAAAAGAUUAUGUAAAAAUGUCCUAAAAGGCACAGAAGGAUUUGCUUUGAUCCUCUUGUACAUUUAACUGAUUCUCUGUUAUCCAAUGCCUGUUGGGCCAUUUUCUUUUUUUUUUGUAAUGUGGACACUUGUGCCUUAAUACUACAUACAUACUGUAAAGUAUCUUACCUGUACUUUAUCCCAUCUGUGCAUUUCUGAUACAAUCAGAUGGUAAAACUACACGUAUGCUUUUCCAUCAUUCAUCACAUCCUUAUAAUUUGCUAUGUAACAAAUAAAGAUUUAUUUCUUCA